rnacentral:rRNA from 1 species
GAUGAACGCUGGCGGCGUGCCUAACACAUGCAAGUCGAGCGGCAGCGCGGGGUGCUUGCACCCUGUCGGCGAGCGGCGGACGGCUGAGUAACGCGUGGGAACGUGCCCCAAAGUGAGGAAUAACUGCCCGAAAGGGUAGCUAAUACCGCAUAUUAUCUUCGGAUCAAAGGAUUUAUCCGCUUUGGGAGCGGCUCGCGUCGGAUUAGGUAGUUGGUGAGGUAAUGGCUCACCAAGCCGACGAUCCGUAGCUGGUCUGAGAGGAUGACCAGUCAGACUGGAACUGAGACACGGUCCAGACUCCUACGGGAGGCAGCAGUGAGGAAUCUUCCACAAUGGGCGAAAGCCUGAUGGAGCAACGCCGCGUGCAGGACGAAGGCCUUCGGGUUGUAAACUGCUUUUAUAAGUGAGGAAUAUGACGGUAACUUAUGAAUAAGGAUCGGCUAACUACGUG